UAUUGACAGCUAGCGGUUGAAAUGGGUACUGCAGUCCAAAUUCAAAAUAUUGGAGAGAGUUGUCGCCCCCUCCCCCUCCUCCUCCUCAAACUCGACGCUCACACGAGUUGCCAGAUUGAGGACACGCAACUGACAAUGAAAGGCGAGGAGAGACUUAACUACAUGCAGGGUGUGUUGGCUAAGCAGGGUUGUCUUUUUCGGCUUCAUCAUCAACCUUCUUAUGAAAGGCUUCUGUCAGGAUGAAGAUCCAGUAUGCAAUGGUGAUGGAGUCUUUUUCCUGCAGAUUGGUCCUGCCUUUCAUCAGUAUGUGGUCUUCUCUCCUCCCCCAAGCUCAAAUGAGGCUUAAAAAUGUUCAGAGCCUUUGCUGAGCACAACAUUCCAGGUU